rnacentral:rRNA from 1 species
AUCUACGCCAUGCUACGCAUCUGAUCUCAGAAGCUAAGCAGGAUUGGGCCUGUUUAGUACUUGGAUGAGAGACCACCUAGGAAGAUCAGGCGCUGUAGAUG